CAGAGGGAUAGCCCAGAGAAAUUUGGAUUAAUACCUCAUAGUAUAGUACAACCGCAUGGUUGAACUAUUAAAGUCACAACGGUGAAAGAUGAGCAUGCGUCCCAUUAGCUUGUUGGUAAGGUAACGGCUUACCAAGGCAACGAUGGGUAGGGGUCCUGAGAGGGAGAUCCCCCACACUGGUACUGAGACACGGACCAGACUCCUACGGGAG
rnacentral:rRNA from 1 species